AUUGAACGCUGGCGGCAUGCUUUACACAUGCAAGUCGAACGGUAACAGGUUAAGCUGACGAGUGGCGAACGGGUGAGUAAUGCAUCGGAACGUGCCCGAUCGUGGGGGAUAACGCAGCGAAAGCUGCGCUAAUACCGCAUACGAUCUGAGGAUGAAAGCGGGGGACCGUAAGGCCUCGCGCGAUCGGAGCGGCCGAUGUCAGAUUAGGUAGUUGGUGGGGUAAGGGCUCACCAAGCCAACGAUCUGUAGCCGGUCUGAGAGGACGACAGCCACACUGGGACUGAGACACGGCCCAGACUCCUACGGGAGGCAGCAGUGGGGAAUUUUGGACAAUGGGCGAAAGCCUGAUCCAGCAAUGCCGCGUGCAGGAAGAAGGCCUUCGGGUUGUAAACUGCUUUUGUACGGAGCGAAAAGGCUCUCUCUAAUACAGGGGGCUCAUGACGGUACCGUAAGAAUAAGCACCGGCUAACUACGUGCCAGCCGCCGCGGUAA
rnacentral:rRNA from 1 species